AUGUUGAACUUUGGUGUAUCACCACAAGUGCCAGAGAUUCCAGUUGGGGAGCAAGAGAUGCCACCAACUCAAGAAGUGUCUGCAUCUGCCAAAGCAAAAUCCACUAAAGGAAAGAAUUGGUCUAGUCAAGAGGAUGAAUUGUUGGUGGCAGCAUGGUUGCACACCAGUUUGGAUGCUGUGAUAGGGACAGAUCAAUCAUCAAAUUCUUAUUGGGGUAGGAUUUAUGAUUACUACAACACGCGCAAGAAAGUGUCAUGGCCGGUGCGUGUUCAAAAUGCAAUCACUUGUCGUUGGAGCACUAUUAAUGAACAAGUUAGUAAGUUUUGUGGAUACCAUCAGCAAAUUCUUAAUAGAAACCAAAGUGGGGUGACUAUCACUCAGCAGAAAAAGCAGAAGAAGACCUCGGAUGCAAGUCCAGGUACAACUUCUAAUGUUGAAGACUUCGGAUCCACUGAUGCUCUUGAUACAGAGAUAAGGCCUGAUGGUAAUAAGCGAGAUAAAGAACGUUUACGGAAAGUUAAAGCUUCUGCUUCCGAUGCUCUUGCUCCCAAGUUAUCAUUAGAAACUGUGUGGGCACAAAAGCUAGAGAAGGCCGAGGCGAAAGAGGCCGCGAAGAAUGCUCGUUAUGAGCGAGCAUUUGAAUUGCAGGAGAAGCAAAUUGUAUUGCAGGAGAGGCAGAUGAGAAACAAUUUGAGUUAGAAGAGAAGAUCAUGUCCAUGGACACUACUACUAUGAGUGGGGCACAACAAAAAUUCUACAUCAACAAGCAGAAUGAGAUUGCUGCUUGCUGAUAGAACACAUCAGGUUUCUCAUGUGAACUAUUUGUCAUGCCAACUAUUUGCCGUGUGA
rnacentral:rRNA from 1 species